AUGGUCUCCUUGCUCUCUCGCGCACCCUCCCUUGCCUCCCUCGGCAAACCCACCGCCCGCGCCUCCACCUCCUCGCUUCGACUGCCAGCCAUGUCUUCCUCCGCCCCCGCCCCCGCGGCCACGGCGGCGGCAGAGCCGGAGGCGUCCCGCCCAAGGAAGACGCCGGUGCUCUUAUUCGACGUCAUGGACACCGUCGUCCGCGACCCCUUCUACCACCACAUCCCCUCCUUCUUCCAAAUGUCCAUGAAGGAACUCCUAGAAAGCAAGCAUCCAACAUCAUGGUCCGAAUUUGAGAUGGGGCUGAUUAAUGAGGGCCAGCUGGCCGAAAAAUUCUUCAAUGAUGGCAGAUCUUUUGAUUUGGAAGGUCUGAAAGCAUGCAUGGUGAGAGCAUACGAGUAUGUUGAUGGUGUUGAAGAUAUUCUUUGCAGUUUGAAGCAAAACAACUACGAAGUGCAUGCUUUUACAAAUUAUCCAGUGUGGUACCAGUUGAUUGAGGAAAAGUUAAAGCUGUCGAAGUAUCUGUCAUGGACAUUCUGUUCUUGUCACGUUGGAAUACGCAAACCUUCACCAGAUUUUUACCUUCAUGCCGUGGAUCAUCUCAAUAUCGAUCCAGGAAACUGCAUUUUCAUUGAUGACAGGAUGGUAAACAUCGAAGCGGCCCUUAGUGUAGGAAUGCUCGGUUUGCAUUUUAAAAAUGCCGAGUCCCUAAAGAAUGAUUUGUGCUCACUGGGAGUUGAACUGGCACCUCUUGUGCUUGAAGAUGAAACUGAAGUUCAGUAA
rnacentral:rRNA from 1 species